CCUACGGGUGGCAGCAGUGAGGAAUAUUGGUCAAUGGUCGCGAGCCUGAACCAGCCAAGUAGCGUGAAGGAUGACUGUCCUGCGGGUCGUAAACUUCUUUUAUCAAGGAACAAAGUCAGGCACGUGUCCCCUUUUGUGUGUACCUUAUGAAUAAGCAUCGGCUAACUCCGUGCCAGCAGCCGCGGUAAUCCGGAGGAUCCGAGCGUUAUCCGGAUUUCUUGGGUUUAAAGGGUGCGGAGAUGGGCUGUUAAGUCAGGUGUGAAAGCUUGCGGCUCAAACGUAAGAUUGCAUUUGAUACUGGCAGCCUUGAGUGCGGUUGAGGUAGGCGGAAUUCGUGGUGUAGCGGUGAAAUGCUUAGAUAUCACGAAGAACUCCGAUUGCGAAGGCAGCCUGCUAAACUGCCACUGACGUUGAUGCUCGAAAGUGUGGGUAUCGAACAGGAUUAGAUACCCUGGUAGUC
rnacentral:rRNA from 1 species